rnacentral:rRNA from 1 species
GACGAACGCUGGCGGCGUGCUUAACACAUGCAUGUCGAACGGAAAGGCCCUGCUUUUGUGGGGUGCUCGAGUGGCGAACGGGUGAGUAACACGUGAGUAACCUGCCCUUGACUCUGGGAUAACUUCAGGAAACUGGGGCUAAUACCGGAUAGGAGCUCCUGCUGCAUGGUGGGGGUUGGAAAGUUUCGGCGGUUGGGGAUGGACUCGCGGCUUAUCAGCUUGUUGGUGGGGUAGUGGCUUACCAAGGCUUUGACGGGUAGCCGGCCUGAGAGGGUGACCGGCCACAUUGGGACUGAGAUACGGCCCAGACUCCUACGGGAGGCAGCAGUGGGGAAUAUUGCACAAUGGGCGGAAGCCUGAUGCAGCAACGCCGCGUGCGGGAUGACGGCCUUCGGGUUGUAAACCGCUUUCGCCUGUGACGAAGCGUGAGUGACGGUAAUGGGUAAAGAAGCACCGGCUAACUACGUG